GGGGGUGCACGCCUUCUCUUCGCCUCGUGCCGCCGCCCGCGCGCAGCGACGGUUGCGCUCUUCACAGGGCCCUCCCGCCCCCGGGAUCGGAGCUAAGGCCGCCCCGACCCGCAGGCGGCAUCGGGGUGCAACGGCCGCGGACCUCGCGUGGGGCCCAGGCCGAGGGGCUGCACGUCGGGCGGACCCGCUGCCUUCCUGCCCCGUGUGUGCGGUGCUGCGGGCUGUAGCAAAGCUCUCUGCUGGGCACAGUGGGAGAGAGUCUCGGAAAACGGGAAAAAAGGGGAUUCCCAGUAUUGGUUUCCACAAUUAAGAACAAACUCAUCGGCUCCUAUGAAAUGAUAUCUUCUGAGAGCUGAAGCAGAGGCAGAAACACUAGAUGCUACAAAGCCUUUUCCAGGUGCUAAGCAGUCCACACUCAGUGCGUACAUCUUGGGGUCUUGAAAAAUUAGAGGGCUGGACAACUACCAACCAUAUGAAGUUUAACAAGAAAAGAAGAAACACUGGCAUUCAAUAAAUGGUUCAGUUAAUAAAACUUCAGGAGUUUCAUCUAGGAAUGAAAAGAAUAAAAGAACAGCGUGUGACAAAUGCACCUGAUAUUGCACUGGAUAGUGAUUAGGCCACCCAGAGACGAAGUCUUUGUGAGAGACUGUGUAGGAGAUGCCAUAAUUAUUCAAGAGCAUCCCACAUCUUAUUUUAUUCCUCCCUGUUGUUCUUAGACCAAAACUGAGAAGGAAGAAGCCAUAGUGGCUCUCGUACCUUUAGAUAUAUUGGUUCUUAGAUAACAAUAGCGCCACUAUAGCAGCUGUGAAGCAGUGGGUCACCUCUACUAGUGCAGAUUUUUUCGAGUGCAGCAUGGAGGCUCUUGUGCAUCACUGGUGAAAAUACAUAUCUAAUGGUGUUGACUAUGUUGAAAAAUCUUGUAGCAGAGAAUUUGCUUUAUCAUAUAAUAGUGUUAUUGUGCUCUUUGUUUCUGUUGUAGUUCUACAUCUAUGUUCAUUACUUUUUCACUUUGAUCCAUCUUCCUCUUCUUUCUCUGAAUAUCUCAGCUGAAACUCUCAUGGUAUGUUUCUAGCCCUAACAGGAAAGUGCAAUUCUAACCGAAUGAAACAGUUUCUGUCGCUAACAGAAGAUAAUCCUGCAAGACCUGCAAUCUGAUCCCCUCUACUGAAGGAGCAUUUCGUAACAGUGGCACAAGAAGUGAACGUCACAUUUUUAAAGAUCUGUCUUAAAACUUGCCUUUUCAGGCAGGAUACGGAAGAUACCUAAGAAUUCUUACAUGACUAAAAGCUGUCCAUCUGAAUGGGUAAUUAAUUCACAUAAGUCUAUGUUGUGAGAUACAUACAAGUACUACAGACCAAAUUAUUUGUAACAUUCUGUUAAGUACUAAAAUUAAUGUUUUAUGUAUUUGUCAUUUCAACAAUGAAGUUAUGGAUUGUUUGUAUUAUAAUUUUAUCUUGUUAAUGUAAAAGAAGGAAUUUUGCUUUCCUUGGCCUCUUGGGAAGCAAAAAACCAGUGUUUCUAAUUAUCUGAACACCCAGGAACAUAAAAGAAUAGCAAGUGGUGAAAUUAUAAAUCUGUUGGAACAAGUCCAUGUUUUCUGAUUAAACUCUAUUUCUGGUGGCUCUCAGCAAUCAUGUUCCUCUUAUGUUCAUAGUAAUUGCAUGUGUCAAAGCUGAGGCCUUGUGUAAACUGUACCAAAUGAGUUACAAUUUUAAUUUAGAAGGAGAUAACUGUAUUUGCCCCUGCAGGCAGAUUGCAUCAGGUUAGAAGUAUAAAAACGAAUAAGAAAGGGAGCAGGGAGGAAGCUGGAGGACCUCCAGGUUAAUAAUAAGGAGAAAAUCUAAUAAGGUUUACAUUACAACAGUUGAAUUUUAGGGAAACAAAAAAAGAAAAAAAUGCAAUUUGCAAACAUGAAGCCAAACUCUGAUACUUGCAUCUGACCCAAGUGUACAAGUACACACUACUAAAUGUAAGAGGGUAUGUCUGACUCUGGAACAGACCUGUCUCUGAUUUUUGUA